AUUGAACGCUGGCGGCAGGCUUAACACAUGCAAGUCGAGCGGGGUGAUGGUGCUUGCACUAUCACUUAGCGGCGGACGGGUGAGUAAUGCUUAGGAAUCUGCCUAUUAGUGGGGGACAACAUCUCGAAAGGGAUGCUAAUGCCUCAUACGUCCUACGGGAGAAAGAAGGGGAUCACUUGUGACCUUGCGCUAAUAGAUGAGCCUAAGUCGGAUUAGCUAGUUGGUGGGGUAAAGGCCUACCAAGGCGACGAGCUGUAGCGGGUCUGAGAGGAUGAUCCGCCACACUGGGACUGAGACACGGCCCAGACUCCUACGGGAGGCAGCAGUGGGGAAUAUUGGACAAUGGGGGGAACCCUGAUCCAGCCAUGCCGCGUGUGUGAAGAAGGCCUUAUGGUUGCAAAGCACUUUAAGCGAGGAGGAGGCUCUUUUGGUUAAUACCCAAGAUGAGUGGACGUUACUCGCAGAAUAAGCACCGGCUAACUCUGUGCCAGCCGCCGCCGUAA
rnacentral:rRNA from 1 species